GGGUUCCUGGCAUGCUGAUUUGUGAUUUAAGAUUAAAAUCACAUUGCCAGGGAUUACCAC
rnacentral:pre_miRNA from 2 species